rnacentral:lncRNA from 1 species
GUUGAAAUUAGUAGUGGGCCUUAGGCCCAUAAGAGAAUUUCAGAAAUCUCCAAGGGCCCAUGUAGGUGGUGGCAUGACAAGGUGGUGGUGGGAAGUUUAGUCCCACCCCGCUAGUGGAGAAGAAGUUGGACCCCUUUAUAAGGGUCUCUCUUCUACAUGCUAUUGGAGAGUGAGAAGAGAAGAUGCCCUCGCGCACUCCUCCU